CGUGGCCCCGCCGCCGGCUGCAGGAUAAAGAAGCCGGGAAACGCUCCUCGGCUCCAGGCUCCAGGGAUAACCAACUACACACUGCUCUGCAGCUGCACGGAAGGAUGGGCCUGAGUAGGAGGUCUGUCUUACCACCUCUUCCUAUGCUGAGGCACUUCUGUACUGCUUGAGUUGAUGUAUAAACUUUUAUAAGUGCUAUCACUAGCCAUGGAAUCACUAACCAGUGUAAAAAGGCUCUAUGUGGAGCUAGUGCAUCAUUCAGUACACUCCACCAUCCUCAGGCCUUCUGCAUGAAAUGAACACUGUAAAUACACUUGCAGAUGACUGCUACAAAAUCCUUGUGAAGCUCCAAGCAGAACAUGAGGACAGAACCUUGUCUUUCUGUCUGUGUUAUCCCUGAUGCACCUGAUUGUUGUACAUCUCUCAGUCAAAGUCAUGGACCAUGGAUUCUCUUCAGCUGCACACAGGUCUGUGAGUCUGAGAUCCAUCAGCUGAACAGGGACUACUUUCUUCUGCCUUUCUAGAAGUCACUAAAUGCUGAGACCAAGCCAGCAGAAAGUGUCCCAUGCCCUCUGUUAAGCCAGUGCACUUCUAUACUGUCCAAAGUUGAUGUUCAAAGCCAACCUUCAACAGCACAUACAUACCUGUAACACAGAGGUCCACAGAACAGGCACUCAGCAUUUAAGAUCUGCUUAGAAAAAUGUACUAUUCAUCACUGAACACUUAAUUCCUUAAUUCCUCACAGGUGAUUCUAAAUAGACCAAGCUUCUCACUCGUCUCCCCUGUGUUCAGGGUGUCUUAUUUUGCACAAUUCUUUCCACUGGCACCUCUCCAAGUUUCUGUCACACAGUACCUGCAACUUCAGGGAGCCAGGAAGAACUAAAGCAGCUCACCAUUUCCAUAACUAUCCCUACUCCAGUGAAGCAGAGAAGCUCCAUAAUGGAUUUCGUGUAAAGCUUCCAGUAUUCUGGCUUUAUUUCCAACUACACAGGGUGUUCAUCAGCUGACAAAGGUGGCAACACAUAGGAUUUAAUACUCUCUACUGUAUUUAGGAUUUAAUACUAUCUCUACUGUCUCGACUGCACAACUACAGUAUGUACAGAAAGGUAUAGCCUGAGCACAUUUAUUACUGAAGGUGACACAGGUCAAAAGCUGGUUCAUGUGUACUGUGGCAAAGAUUAGCUCCCUGCCUUACUAUGUGAUUAAAUGCCAUUUAUGAGAUUACCAGACAGUCUGUUAUGCAAUCCAAUUACCCAGGGUUUAAGACUGUGAUACAAGAAGCUUUCCACCAUGUCAGUGGUUUAAAAGAAGCCUCACCUGAAGGCUUAGAAAAUUACUCUGUCUUGUGAGUAAUUAUUUACAAUUAUUACCUUACUUAAAAGUCUCAGAGAAGUCCACCAAAAUAAGAAUGGGCUUUUAAGCUUGGGAAAAGCUUCUUUCAGGGAAAAAGUAAAAUAGAAGUUUACUUAACUAUUUUACUUUUUUCUGUACUUGUUCUAUGGAUUAAUAGUUGUGAAAAAUAGACUUGGCUUUCUGAAUUCUGUCCCAAAGACUCCCAUGCAUUCACGAAACAGGAAGUGAAACACCACACCACUCCAAACUCCAAGCAGGUCUCAUGUUUAUUGAAAUAGCUCAAGCUUAAUAAACAUGAUGCACAUGGCUCUUCCCACACCACAUACCCUCACAACUGUUAAAUUAGCCACACUGGAUUCCUACAGAAGCUUCCCUUCAGCACAGCAAAGUAAAGCACACCUGGUUGUGCUUUACAAAAGACCAAAGUCUCAUAAACCAAUGAACCAACCACUUCAUCCCUAAACAACACCUGACAAUUCCCUGAGUCUGAAUUACGAAUAAUAAAAAAAAAUACCCAAAGAAACAAGUCAGAAUUUACAACCUGUGACUAUUUCUGCAAAUUUUUUUUAUUUUUUGAUUUUUUUUUACAAAAUAAGUUUGCCUCUAUUUAAAAUGCAUUAUUUCCUAUGAUGUGUAGAAAGGCUCUUUAUUCUGUUGGGAUUACUGAGGAAAUCUGAGUUGAAUCCAACUAUGGCACAGAAAUUAUCAUCUGGACUGAGGCAACUGACUCUGGAGAUCGUUCAUUUGGCACAGAACUUCAAUGCAUCUCAGAGAAACCAAAGUCCAAUGGAAAGAGCUCCAAAGUCAGCCCCCUGAGGCAGAUGUGAAGCCUCUUCCCCAUUAAAUGGGUCUUAGCCCCAGUUUGAAGUAGACAAAUUGAGCUGUUGUAAUACUGUCAGGCUUCUCCAGGCUAUUAUUUAGU